rfam:Candida albicans SC5314 mitochondrion, complete genome.
CGCAAUAUAAUGUAAUUGGUAACAUAUAAGAUUCAUGAUCUUAUCAUGGUAGUUCGAGUCUAUCUAUUGCAA